AUGUAUAACACUUAGAAUAGUUUAGUCAAGACGAAUUUAGAGCCAAGACUUGGGCUAAUGAAUGUGAAAAUUCGGGAUCUUGAAUAGAACCUAAAUAAGUUAACGCCGCAAGCAAUCUUUGGGUUAAUUGCACAGGUGGAAAUAAGAUUGAAAUUGUCUGCGAAGCAUAUUAAUUAUGAUCACAAGAACCAAUAUAUAAAUUGUAUAUAAAUAAUAUAACCAAUAUACCCAUUUUCUUGUCUGGACAGUUUUAAGAGUACAAUUACCAAUAGAUAAAAAGUGACCAAAUGGUAUAGCCAAUACUAUACCCGAUUCUGAAUACCCUACAUAAUCAUUGGCAUAACAACUUUGACACAUUGCCAACGACAUGGGAGAACGUUGAGAACACACAAUUUAUGGCGCUUAAAUUGCAGUCAUGCGCAUGAGCGGCAACGGCUAACAAGAUCAACAUCUCAACGUGGAGCGUAGCCCCCAACUCCGCCACCAAGCUAUAACCCGAACACCCUGCUCGAUACCAAGACCCCGCCUACCCCCCCCCCCCCUCCCUCCCUCCGACCAACAGCAGCCCCUUAACGCAAGCUAAUGCGAGUGCGGCUUUGGGCGGAUGUUUGGUGUCAAAACACGCAGCGCAUUUUCCCUGGAAUUUCAGAGCGUUACCCGCGGUCUGCGGAUCCUUACGCCUCAUCAUCGGCUCCGUUGUCGUCUCGCCGGUCUUCAACUCCAACUCCAACACCGGGCUGGUUAAUUUAUGUUAGCGACGUGUUCGCCAGUGAAAACAAACGGGUCGAUCGCGAAUGGAGACGAUCGAUCGAUGCUGGGCUAUAAAAAUAGUGUUCGAAACUCGUUGCUCGGUCGGGGCUGUUGUUGCUUUUAUCAAUUUGUGUUCAUUUCUAAGCACGAAUCGGCCAGCAUAGAUCAUAAAAUGCUUGCCCCCGGCCAUGGUCAAUGUAAGGAAACAACAAUAACAAUAACAACAACGACAGCAAAUGAAAAUUUACAUAAUUACCGCUGGCGGUGCCUUUAUGAGAGCCGCCCGAACGUGUCAAAAUGAAAUGUGUUGCAUGAUUAGCGCGUAAAUAACACGGCCAAGGCAUAAAUCUCAUCGAGUAGUCGACUCCCCAGCCAAGGAGCCGUCUCCGGGUAAGAUAAUCAAAUAAGUGUAGCGAUUAAUAAAGAUGAAGAUGCUAGCCGUGGCUGGACAGAGACAAACGCCAAGA